UACAGAGGUCUCAAGCGUUGUUCGGAUUCAUUGGGCGUAAAGGGUGCGUAGGCGGCGCGGUAAGUCGGGUGUGAAAUCUCGGAGCUUAACUCCGAAACUGCAUUCGAUACUGCCGUGCUUGAGGACUGGAGAGGAGACUGGAGUUUACGGUGUAGCGGUGAAAUGCGUAGAUAUCGUAAGGAAGACCAGUGGCGAAGGCGGGUCUCUGGGCCGAUACUGACGCUGAGGAGCGAAAGCGUGGGGAGCGAACAGG
rnacentral:rRNA from 1 species